CCACACAACCACACCUCAUAAUCAAGCGCAUUCAAUCCCAAAUCAAAGUCAUUCUUGUUUUCCAGCUUCAAAUGUAAAGUAGCAACAGUUUCUUCAAAUGAGAAUUUCUCAAAUUUGAUUUUAUCAAUAUCAACAUCGGGUUUAUAAGGUAUUGGGAUCUCCCCUUUUUUCUCAAGAGGAAUAGUGAUUCUUCCGAAAACAGGGACAUCAACGAUCAGGUCAACUUUGAUUUUGUAAGGUAUGAUGCUUCCUGGUUGAAUUUCUUCAUAUGUGUUCUUGAUGUCUUCGUAGAUUAAACAGAGAGGGAUCUGAACAGUUUCUGAUCCAUGUGCACGGAUUGUGCCAGCAUCGGGGAUUAAUCCAGAGAUUAGUUUUCUUCCAUCAC
rnacentral:lncRNA from 1 species